rnacentral:misc_RNA from 1 species
UUUUUCUUUUUUUUUUUUAAUUUUAUCAAAUAUUCAAAUAUAUGACUAAACUAUUCAAUUAUAGAACUGCAAAUUCCUCUCAAAAUCCCUAAUAAUCAAAUCCUAACCCACUACAAUGCUCACAGGCAAAUUAGUUGAAUUCAUCCUAAAUCACUAUUCAUCCAUUUUGUGGACUAAAAUGCACUAGCAAGCUCUGAGAGCCAUUAUUUGCAGAAAACAUGAUCCAAAAGGAAUAUUUAGUAGAAAUUUCUAAAACUAAUUAAUACAUAAUUUUAUUUUUAAUAGAAAAACUAAGUUAAACCAUGAAAAUUCACCAAGGUAUUAAUUUCUAAAAUUUGACUUGUCUUGCAUAAAAAUGUAGUUACAAUGCUUUCAGGAAAAUACAUCAAAGUACAAGUAUGAAAUCAAAGUACUGCUGACCUGUUUAUAACCAUGCAACACCUG